rnacentral:lncRNA from 1 species
CAUCAUAGUACUUGGAAACAAGUCACUGUAAUUUGAUGUUGGACUAACUGAGUUUCUAAUUCGGUGACAAAAAAUUUUUGGGUGUGGUCAACUACUUAUCAAGUCGGUGCAUGAGUCAAGAUAGGAUUGACCCCUCCGAAUUAGUAGGAGUUAAUAUAUCAAUAUAUUUUAAUUUAGCAAAACUUGAGCUCAGAUAAUCCAUAUGGAUUUGAAAA